rnacentral:rRNA from 1 species
GACGAACGCUGGCGGCGUGCCUAAUACAUGCAAGUCGAACGAGAGCGACCGGUGCUUGCACUGGUCAAUCUAGUGGCGAACGGGUGAGUAACACGUGGGUAACCUGCCCAUCAGAGGGGGAUAACAUUCGGAAACGGAUGCUAAAACCGCAUAGGUUCUUGAGUCGCAUGACUGAAGAAGGAAAAGAGGCUUCGGCUUCUGCUGAUGGAUGGACCCGCGGUGCAUUAGCUAGUUGGUGAGGUAACGGCUCACCAAGGCCGUGAUGCAUAGCCGACCUGAGAGGGUGAUCGGCCACAUUGGGACUGAGACACGGCCCAAACUCCUACGGGAGGCAGCAGUAGGGAAUCUUCCGCAAUGGACGCAAGUCUGACGGAGCAACGCCGCGUGAGUGAAGAAGGAUUUCGGUUCGUAAAACUCUGUUGUUAGAGAAGAACAGCGCAUAGAGUAACUGUUAUGCGUGUGACGGAUCUAACCAGAAAGCC